rnacentral:misc_RNA from 1 species
CACAAUAAAAUAUGAAGGCUGUACGCGGCUGUGCUCUCGGGCCAGUUUUGCGGAGGCUGAAUUAUUUACUACCCUUGUCUUUUGCGCACUUGUUGUUUCCUGGGCGGGUUCGCCCGCCACCAGGACCACAUCAUAAACCUUUUUUAUGCAGUUGCAAUCAGCGUCAGUAUAACAAAUGUAAAUCAUUUA